rnacentral:tRNA from 2 species
GGGGGCAUAGCUCAGCGGUAGAGCGCGUGCUUAGCAUGCACGAGGUCCUAGGUUCAAUCCCCAGUACCUCCA